GUAAAUUUCAUCUAAAGCUAAAUACUGGCUGGAGACCGAUAGCGCACAAGUAGAGUGAUCGAAAGAUGAAAAGCACUUUGGAAAGAGAGUCAAACAGUACGUGAAAUUGUUGAAAGGGAAGCGCUUGCAACCAGACCUGUCCGUAGGUGAUCAGCCGCUGUUCUCAGUGGUGCACUCGCUCUGCGAUCAGGCCAGCAUCGGUUCGGGCGGUCGGAUAAAGGCCUUGGGAAUGUAGCUUCCUUCGGGGAGCCUUAUAGCCCUCGGUGCAAUGCGGCCAGCCGGGACCGAGGACCGCGCUUCGGCUAGGAUGCUGGCGUAAUGGUUGUAAGCGACCCGUCUUGAAACACGGACCAAGGAGUCUAACAUCUAUGCGAGUGUUUGGGUGUCAAACCCAUGCGCGGAAUGAAAGUGAACGGAGGUGAGAACCCUUAAGGGCGCAUCAUCGACCGAUCCAGAUGUCUUCGGAUGGAUUUGAGUAUGAGCAUAGCUGUUGGGACCCGAAAGAUGGUGAACUAUGCCUGAAUAGGGUGAAGCCAGAGGAAACUCUGGUGGAGGCUCGCAGCGGUUCUGACGUGCAAAUCGAUCGUCAAAUUUGGGUAUAGGGGCGAAAGACUAAUCGAUGCAUCAUGAUGG
rnacentral:rRNA from 1 species